UGCCACCUCCCAGUGCUGCAAGUCAAGUCUGUGUUUCUAGGAAUCAAGAACUGUAGAGGCAGCAUAAGGGCACAAGUACAGGAUCAUCCAAACUACCAAACCGUCAGUUCCUGGCAUGACUUUAGCCCACACUGUCCAGUAUUCCUCUGGACAACAUAUGGUUUGAAGGACAGAGCAAAUCAAGGGCAUUCCCAGGAGAUGCUUUGAGGUGGAUCUUGGACUUUUCUUUUAGAGACAAUCCUUGGCUGCAUUGUAUUACUAUGACUAUGUCACAGAAUUAUAGGAAAGGAAAACUGUAGGAGUUGCUGCAGAUCAUCAAAUCCAACCAGAUCACCAGAUUCAGCCAUGCUGCUCAAGACAGGGUGUGGAAGCAGCACCGGAAGUAUCAAAGGUGAGAGAAGAGCAAUAGGAAUGACCUAAGAAUAGGAAUGGAGCACCUCUUUCUGGAGGCCAUCUCCAUCCACAUGGAUGACAAGAAGGUGAUCAGAAGUAGUCAGCAUCAAUUCACUAGAGGUGAAUCAGGCUUGACCAACCUGAUUGUUUUCUACAAUGAAACAACUACCUGGAUGGAUGAGAGGAGAACAGUGGAUAUUGUCUACCUCGACUUAAGCAAGACUUUCAACACUGUUUCUCACAACAUCCUCAUAGACAAACUGAGGAAGUGUGGACUGGACGAGUGGUCAGUGAGGUGACUUGAGAAUGGCAGAUCCCAGAGGGUUGUGGCACAGGGUCUAGUCAGAGGCCUGCCAUUACUGGUGUUCCCCAAGUUCAAUACUGAGCCCAGUAUUAACAUAUUCAUCAGUGACUUUGAUGAAAGAGCCUCUGUGAUGGACCAAACUGAUUGGAUGGGCUGGUUGAGCCCUGCAAUCUAUUGUUUCUCUGAUAAGACUGGUGACUUAAACAAAGUGGUUUUGUGCCAGAUAAAGGAAAAGACUGAUAAGAAGCAGAUCCUUCAGAGGUGGAGUAAUGCUUUUUAUCAUGCCAAUCUCCUCCCUCCUGAUAAUGCAUCUGUAUCUGACAGUGUAAAACUCCGCCACACUGGAAGUAUAGGAGCAUUCUCACUUAAGUCUGAACAUAUAUAACCAGGUGAACCCUUUAUUGUGUGGGCACCUACCUCCAAGAGAUCAAGACUGAGACCAUCACUCUGACCAUGGACAUUGAAAUUGCAUCAAUCAAGUCUCAUCACUGGAUUGACAGGUGGUGAUAUUUUUCCUCUCCACUAUCUACACUUGUCCCUUCUGUCUCUUUCUCUUUUCCUUAUAUAUUUUCUUCAUGAUACAGUUUAUGUUUUUAUAGAAAAGAACUAAAAUGGCUACACACCUCCUAUCUGUUGCAACCAAAUUUUUUUAAAAUAAACCUGCUGAAUAUA